rnacentral:rRNA from 1 species
UACAGAGGUCUCGAGCGUUAGGCGGAAUCACUGGGCUUAAAGCGUGUGUAGGCGGAUGCCUAAGUACCUUGUGAAAUCCCACGGCUCAACCGUGGAACGGCCCCGGAUACGGGCGGUCUCGAGGGAGGUAGGGGCAUGCGGAACUACGGGUGGAGCGGUGAAAUGCGUUGAUAUCCGUGGGAACUCCGGUGGCGAAGGCGGCGUGCUGGACCUCACCUGACGCUGAGGCGCGAAAGCCAGGGGAGCAAACGGG